AAGAAAGCCAAACCUGAAAAUUAGGACUCCCUAAAAUAAGUCAACAUACAGUUCAGUUGAUAGAGCUCUAAUUUCUAUUGAUCUUUUUAGGAAUCGUAUUUACUGUGUGAGGAAAGCUGCCUGUCGCACCGAUCUAGAUGAUAAAUGGAGAGAAGUUAAAAGGGACAAGGAAAGGAACAUGCAGAAGCAAGAGGAUGACUGGAAAAAGAUGCAAAUAGUUACCGAGCUCUCUCGUGCUGUGCACCAGGUUGGCCAUUGAGACAUGACAGCUG
rnacentral:lncRNA from 1 species